CAGCCGCCGCGGUAACACGGAGGGUGCAAGCGUUAAUCGGAAUUACUGGGCGUAGAGCGCACGCAGGCGGUUUGUUAAGUCAGAUGUGAAAUCCCCGAGCUUAACUUGGGAACUGCAUUUGAAACUGGCAAGCUAGAGUCUUGUAGAGGGGGGUAGAAUUCCAGGUGUAGCGGUGAAAUGCGUAGAGAUCCGGAGGAAUACCGGUGGCGAAGGCGGCCCCCUGGACAAAGACUGACGCUCAGGUGCGAAAGCGUGGGGAGCAAACAGGAUUAGAUACCCGCGUAGUCCCUGUCUCUUAUAC
rnacentral:rRNA from 1 species